rnacentral:tRNA from 1 species
GCGGGCGUCGCCAAGUGGUAAGGCGUCAGCCUUCCAAGCUGAUAUCCGUGGGUUCGAAUCCCAUCGCCCGCU